UCCAAAUCGAGUAGCCCGCCAAUUUGGCUUGUGCCAGCAAUGGCCUGUCCCUCCAUUUGAUACUUCCGUGGAGCUGCACAAGAUUGAUCGUCAGAAGCAAAAGAAGACAUUUGAGUUUGAAACGUUGCAUCGUCAGUACAUAGAGGUGUGGGACCAGUUUCAUGACAACCUCUACGAAAAUUAGCAACCACAUACCAACUACAAUUUUCGUGCAUACCUUACUUGGUACCUAGGUGUUACACGAACAAGGUUGAAAAUUCAGUGGACCCAAGCAGAUUAUGCGUACCUUGAAUCAUCUGAGGAUGAGGACACUUCCUAUGACCUAGCAGCACGACAAGGGACACUUAUCGAGGCAGCACCUGUCUUGGACCGAGUGGGCAACGCAAUAAAGCAAUCUGUACUUGACAUCGAACGGUU